rnacentral:rRNA from 1 species
ACCUGAGAGGGUGAUCGGCCACACUGGGACUGAGACACGGCCCAGACUCCUACGGGAGGCAGCAGUAGGGAAUCUUCGGCAAUGGGGGCAACCCUGACCGAGCAACGCCGCGUGAGUGAAGAAGGUUUUCGGAUCGUAAAGCUCUGUUGUAAGAGAAGAACGUGUGUGAGAGUGGAAAGUUCACACAGUGACGGUAACUUACCAGAAAGGGACGGCUAACUACGUGCCAGCAGCCGCGGUAAUACGUAGGUCCCGAGCGUUGUCCGGAUUUAUUGGGCGUAAAGCGAGCGCAGGCGGUUUAAUAAGUCUGAAGUUAAAGGCAGUGGCUUAACCAUUGUUCGCUUUGGAAACUGUUAGACUUGAGUGCAGAAGGGGAGAGUGGAAUUCCAUGUGUAGCGGUGAAAUGCGUAGA